rnacentral:rRNA from 1 species
GGAUUAGAUACCCGGGUAGUCCACGCCGUAAACGAUGAGAACUAGUUAUUGGGGGUAUUGACUCCCUCAGUGACGCAGCUAACGCAUUAAGUUCUCCGCCUGGGGAGUACGGUCGCAAGACUAAAACUCAAACAAAUUGACGGGGGCCCGCACAAGCGGUGGAUUAUGUGGUUUAAUUCGAAGCAACGCGCAGAACCUUACCUAGGCUUGAACUCCUACGAACCUGACGUAAUGGUCGGGGUGUCCGCAAGGAAAUGUAGAGAGAGGUGCUGCAUGGCUGUCGUCAGCUCGUGUUGUGAAAUGUUGGGUUAAGUCUCGCAACGAGCGCAACCCCUAUCGUCUGUUGCCAGCAUUAAGUUGGGCACUCUGACGAGACUGCCUGGGUUAACCAGGA